GCCAGGCACGGUGGUGCGUGUCUGUAGUCCCAGCUACUCUGGAGGCUAAGGUUGGACGAUUGCUUGAGCCCCGGAGUUCUGGGCUGUAGUGCUAUGCCCAUCGUGUGUCCGCAGUAAGUUUGGCAUCAAUAUGGUGACCUCCCGGGAACAGGGGACCACCAGGUUGCCUAAGGAGGGGUGAACCAGCCCAGGUCGGAAAUGGUGCAGGUCAAAAUUGAUGAGUAGGGGGAUCAUGCCUGUGAAUAGCCACUGCACUCCAGCCUGGGCAACAUAGCAAGACCACCUCUCU
ensembl:misc_RNA Metazoa_SRP Metazoan signal recognition particle RNA